CCUACGGGAGGCAGCAGUAGGGAAUCUUCCACAUUGGGCGAAAGCCUGAUGGAGCAACGCCGCGUGAGCGAAGAAGGUCUUCGGAUCGUAAAGCUCUGUUGUAAGGGAAGAACAAGUGCAGUAGUAACUGGCUGCACCUUGACGGUACCUUACUAGAAAGCCACGGCUAACUACGUGCCAGCAGCCGCGGUAAUUACUGGGCGUAAAGAGCGUGUAGGCGGUUGAU
rnacentral:rRNA from 1 species